CACAUCAUGCUUACAGAACACAGCAAGAAGUUGGGGGACAGAAUCAACCGUGGAAGAAAGCUGUUUACUUGCUUGGUUCCCAGAGUUUGAUUUUUGAUGCCCAAGACCACCUGCAGAGGGUCACACCAAGAGAAAGGCACAGCUGAGAACUUCUCUUGGUGUUCCUGAAUGGUCGCUCCUGCUGACUUGAACUGAGGCUGAAGCCUUCCUGUAACUUCUAGGUCAUAUGACCAAGUUUCUAACUGGACUCUACCAAACUGGAUUGCUGGUGUAUCUGUAAAGUGUUUGCAAGUGGAUUGAGUUGCUGCUGCUAACCUAUGAACUGAACUGCCGAUUUCCAGAAAACAGAGAUGGGAGUUUCUCCAAGGAACAUUUCUGAACAGGCCCUCUUCCCUGUAUCCUUUCUUUUGCACUACCUCUGGUGGGUGGGUGGGUGGGGCUAAAAGGGAGGUUUAAACAUUUAAAAACAAUCAUUUAAAAUAGGAUUUGCAAAACAUAAAGUUUCAAGGGAAUCAGAUGUACGGGCCACAGGGUCAUCAGAGGGUUUAUGAAGGUGUGGCCAUGAUGAUUCCAUAGUGAUAAUUUUGGAGGGGUCAAUAUUUACUAAAAAUCUGAUUACGAAGACCUGAUGCAUAUGUUUAUUCUAGAAGGGAAACAUUUCUAUGAAUUCCUUCUCUUAUAAGAGAGGUGGGGAAAAGAUGGAGAAAUCAAGGAGAGGGUUGUCUUUUAUAAAACAUAAUAAACAGUGAAGUAAAGGUAACACGUUUCUUAAUACAUUGGCUUUCAGAAGCAAAGCCUUCUGACUUGAGAGUUUGAACACAGGAAGAUGUGUUCCGUCAAUGGGACUGGAAUGGAGACACAGCUAUAGUCUCUGGUGCGUCAUGUCUUUACUCAUAACCACCAAAGGAUGAGAUACAAAGAUACACAGUAGUUAGUGGACUGAGAUGUUAGAAGCAGCCAGUCGAGUGAUGCUUAAAAUAUUUGUAAGGAGCCCAGGACUUGUGACGAUUUCACAGUGAUGCGUGAGAAGACACUCAGCCGCUUACACCUCCAGUUAGUAGAAUUCUAAGCGCAUUCUCAAGCUGUACCAAAAUGCCAUCUUGGUGGAUCCAUUUUGCUUUCUGUUUCUUUUUCCACAAGCAGAACCUAUCACAAAUAUCCUUCCACGAACACAGACUCCUUAGCUCACUGAAUUAUUCUGUGCGUGAAAGCCUACCCUGUUUUAAUCUGAAACAAGCCCUUGUGCUUCCUGAAGCUAAAUUAUAACCACAAGUUCUGCUGUAAUUGGCUUCCUGGAAAGACCACCUAUAGACUCCCUAGGAGCCUGCCUUACAUCUGCAUUGUACACGCACCAGGAAUAACUACAUCACUGUGCAAAUUACCUGACAUGGUCAGGGAAAUGGAUUUAUUCUGAAGCAGUGAGAGAAGCUAAAAUGUCUGAAUUAGCAUUUGUUCUGUUUUCCACAAGAAAAUAUAAAGUGUAUAUUGAACUUUCUUCAUUAAAAUUCUGAGGGCAAUC
rnacentral:lncRNA from 1 species